CUGUGCUUUCGCAUUCAAGCGAUGCGACCGACUGACAUGAUAACGGAAUCAAAAACGAUACUUUUCGAACAUUCCCGGCUUAAUAUUGAAGACGCUGAGAAGCUAGUCAGUGAUUUCAUUCCUCGAGCAUGCCAUUUUUGCUGCUCUGCUUAUAGGGUUCGAAUUCUACAAUCGGAAGUCAUGUCAAAUCUUUCCCGCACCUCGAGUGCUCCAUCCAAGAACGGUCUUCCACCUCAGGAACUUCUCGAUGAUCUCUGCAGUCGAUUUGUGUUAAAUGUGCCAAAGGAAGACCUCCAAUCAUUUGAAAGGAUCUUGUUUCUUGUGGAGUAUGCGCAUUGGUUUUAUGAAGAUAACUCUGUAGAAAAUAAUCCAUCUCUGAAGUCAUUCAACCUGAAGGAGUUUACUUCUUUAUUGUUUAAUAGUUGUGAUGUUUUGAAGCCUUAUGUAGCUCAUAUAGAUGAUAUAUUCAAGGACUUUACUUCUUACAAGGUUCGAGUCCCAGUUACGGGUGCAAUAAUUCUAGAUGAAACAUAUGAAAGGUGCCUGCUAGUGAAAGGAUGGAAAGGUUCAAGCUGGAGUUUUCCUCGUGGCAAAAAGAGCAAAGAUGAAGAAGACCAUGCAUGUGCCAUUAGAGAAGUCAUGGAAGAAACUGGUUUUGAUGUUUCAAAACUUCUUAAAAAAGAGGAAUACAUUGAAGUUAUUUUUGGACAACAAAGAGUGCGGCUUUACAUCAUUGCUGGUGUGAAGGAUGAUACACCUUUUGCUCCACUUACAAAAAAAGAGAUCAGUGAAAUUGCAUGGCAUCGGCUUGAUGAAGUUCAGCCAGCAAGUGAUGAAGUGAUUUCUCGUGGGAUCACUGGCCUCAAGCUUUACAUGGUAGCCCCUUUCCUUGGAUCAUUGAACACUUGGAUUUCAGAGCAUCCACCUCCAAUACCACCAAGGCCUGAUUUGCCUCUUAAAGGAAUUUGCAUCUGGAAAGCGAAGAACAGUUCCAAUGGAAGUAGCUCAAUGACAAUGGACAGCCAACCAGUAAUACCUGAGCCUGAUUCUCACACUCUUGACACGGGGCCUGGCAAGAGCUUUAGGAACUUCAGAUUUGAUACUGGUCCAAUCUUGCGGGCAAUGGAAGCUGGCUUUUCUUCUUGAAGGUCUGGACCCAUAAGCCUACCUGUAAAGUUCACAUAACUGAUUGAUUUUCACCUUUUCACUUGCAUAUCAGGUUGAUAUUAAUCACUCUUCAUCCGGAUUAGGUAGCUGUACUUGAUGUAUCUCAACUUGUUUGGUCGGAGUUAUUUGUACAUUAUGUACAGGAAGCCUUGGUGUGGGACGACCAAGUAUGUUUCGGCGUCAUACCUGGAAGAACGACCAAGUUUUGCCAAUUGAUAUGUACAUUCAGUCAUUCCAGGCUUUCUCUACAGUUGUAGUUGACUUAUAACUCUCAAUCUUGAUAUAUGAGAUCUCUAGUUAAAUUAAUAAUAUUACCAUAAGGGUGAUUCCUCCUGCUAUCUGGAAACACGAUGUUAAUGGCCGCAAGGGAAUCAAUGGAAAGCUUAAUUUUGUUGAAUU